rnacentral:tRNA from 1 species
GAGGGUAUAGCUCAGUUGUAGAGCACAUGCCUAGCAUGCACAAGGUCCUGGGUUCAAUCCCCAGUACUUCCA